GUGAGUGUAGCUCAGUUGGUUAGAGCACUGGUCUGUGGAACCAGGGAUCGUGGGUUCAAGUCCCAUCACUCACCCCA
rnacentral:tRNA from 1 species